rnacentral:rRNA from 1 species
AGUGAACGCUGGCGGUAGGCCUAACACAUGCAAGUCGAACGGCAGCACAGUAAGAGCUUGCUCUUACGGGUGGCGAGUGGCGGACGGGUGAGGAAUACAUCGGAAUCUACUUUUUCGUGGGUGAUAACGUAGGGAAACUUACGCUAAUACCGCAUACAACCUACGGGUGAAAUCAGGGGAUCUUCGGACCUUGCGCGAUUGAAUUAGCCGAUGUCGGAUUAGCUAGUUGGCUGGGUAAAGUCCCACCUAGGCGACGAUCCGUAGCUGGUCUGAGAGGAUGAUCAGCCACACUGGAACUGAGACACGGUCCAGACUCCUACGGGAGGCAGCAGUGGGGAAUAUUGGACAAAGGGCGCAAGCCUGAUCCAGCAAUACCGCGUGGGUGAAGAAGGCCUUCGGGUUGUAAAGCCCUUUUGUUGGGAAAGAAAAGAAGCAGGUUAAUACCCCGCUGUUCUGACGGUACCCAAAGAAUAAGCACCGGCUAACUUCGUG